AGAGUUUGAUCCUGGCUCAGGAUGAACGCUAGCGACAGGCUUAACACAUGCAAGUCGAGGGGCAGCGGUGGUGAAGGCUUGCCUUUACCAGCCGGCGACCGGCGCACGGGUGAGUAACACGUAUGCAACCUGCCUGCCACAGCCGGAUAAUCGGGAGAAAUUCCGUCUAAUACGGCAUAAUGCAUCGACGGGACAUCCUGUUGGUGCCAAAGGUUGAUUCCGGUGGCGGAUGGGCAUGCGUCGCAUUAGUUAGUUGGCGGUGUAACGGACCACCAAGACGACGAUGCGUAGGGGUUCUGAGAGGAAGGUCCCCCACACUGGUACUGAGACACGGACCAGACUCCUACGGGAGGCAGCAGUGAGGAAUAUUGGUCAAUGGCCGAGAGGCUGAACCAGCCAAGUCGCGUGAGGGAUGACGGCCCUACGGGUUGUAAACCUCUUUUGCCGGGGAGCAAAGAGCGGGACGCGUCCCGCCUCGAGAGUACCCGGAGAAUAAGCAUCGGCUAACUCCGUGCCAGCAGCCACGGUAAUACGGAGGAUGCGAGCGUUAUCCGGAUUUAUUGGGUUUAAAGGGUGCGUAGGCGGCCUGUUAAGUUAGUGGUUAAAUGUCGGGGCUAAACCCCGGAUUGCCAUUAAAACUGGCGGGCUCGAGUACAGACGAGGUAGGCGGAAUAAGUCAAGUAGCGGUGAAAUGCUUAGAUAUGACUUAGAACUCCGAUAGCGAAGGCAGCUUACCAGGCUGAGACUGACGCUGAAGCACGAGAGCGUGGGUAGCGAACAGGAUUAGAUACCCUGGUAGUCCACGCCGUAAACGAUGCUCACUGGUUCUUGGCGACAAACGGUCGGGGAUCAAGCGAAAGUAUUAAGUGAGCCACCUGGGGAGUACGUCGGCAACGAUGAAACUCAAAGGAAUUGACGGGGGCCCGCACAAGCGGAGGAACAUGUGGUUUAAUUCGAUGAUACGCGAGGAACCUUACCCGGGUUUAAAUGUUGAUGGACUUAAUUGGAAACAGUUAUUCUCUUCGGAGCCGUCAUCAAGGUGCUGCAUGGUUGUCGUCAGCUCGUGCCGUGAGGUGUCGGGUUAAGUCCCAUAACGAGCGCAACCCUUACCGUCAGUUGCCAUCAGGUAAAGCUGGGGACUCUGUCGGGACUGCCACCGUAAGGUGAGAGGAAGGCGGGGAUGACGUCAAAUCAGCACGGCCCUUACACCCGGGGCUACACACGUGUUACAAUGGCCGGUACAGAGGGCAGCUACCUGGAGACAGGAUGCGAAUCUCGAAAGCCGGUCGUAGUUCGGAUUGGAGUCUGUAACCCGACUCCAUGAAGUUGGAUUCGCUAGUAAUCGCGCAUCAGCCAUGGCGCGGUGAAUACGAACCCGGGCCUUGCACACACCGCCCGUCA
rnacentral:rRNA from 1 species